rnacentral:tRNA from 1 species
GGGGCCUUAACUCAAUUGGGAGAGUACCUGCUUUGCAAGUAGAUGACGACAGUUCGAAUCUGUCAGGCUCCACCA